rnacentral:rRNA from 1 species
UACGGGGGGGGUAAGCGUUGUUCGGAAUUACUAGGCGUAAAGGGCUCGUAGGCGGCCAACUAAGUCAUACGUGAAAUCCCUCAGCUUAACUGGGGAACUGCGUGUGAUACUGGAUGGCUUGGAUUUGGGAGAGGGAUGCGGAAUUCCAGGUGUAGCGGUGAAAUGCGUAGAUAUCUGGAGGAACACCGGUGGCGAAGGCGGCAUCCUGGACCAAUAUUGACGCUGAGGAGCGAAAGCCAGGGGAGCAAACGGG